UACGAAGGGGGCUAGCGUUGCUCGGAAUCACUGGGCGUAAAGGGCGCGUAGGCGGCCUUGUAAGUCGGGGGUGAAAGCCUGUGGCUCAACCACAGAAUUGCCUUCGAUACUGCAGGGCUUGAGACCGGAGGAGGUCAGUGGAACUGCGAGUGUAGAGGUGAAAUUCGUAGAUAUUCGCAAGAACACCAGUGGCGAAGGCGGCUGACUGGUCCGGUUCUGACGCUGAGGCGCGAAAGCGUGGGGAGCAAACAGG
rnacentral:rRNA from 1 species